GAUGAACGCUGGCGGCGUGCUUAACACAUGCAAGUCGAACGGAAAGGCCCUGCUUUUGUGGGGUGCUCGAGUGGCGAACGGGUGAGUAACACGUGAGUAACCUGCCCUUGACUUUGGGAUAACUUCAGGAAACUGGGGCUAAUACCGGAUAGGAGCUCUUGAUGCAUGGUGGGGGUUGGAAAGAUUCGGCGGUUGGGGAUAGACUCGCGGCUUAUCAGCUUGUUAGUGGGGUAGUGGCUUACCAAGGCUUUGACGGGUAGCCGGCCUGAGAGGGUGAACGGCCACAAGAGGACUGAGGUACGGCCCAGACGCCUACGGGAGGCAACAGUGGAGAGUAUUGCGCAAUAGGCGGAAGCCUGAUGCAGCAACGCCGCGUGCGGGAUGACGGCCUUCUGGUUGUAAACCGCUUUCGCCUGUGACGAAGCGUGAGUGACGGUAAUGGGUAAAGAAGCACCGGCUAACUACGUG
rnacentral:rRNA from 1 species